ensembl:lncRNA LOC102554935 uncharacterized LOC102554935
CCGGGUUCUAGCGUCUCCCAGAUUUCAGCUUCCCUCUCUAUCUGGGACGUCUCUCUGGGACGCUGGUGGGCGGGGCUCAGACCAGGAAGCUGCCCUAUGCUCUGUGCCUGCCUUUCCUGUCUGUGAAGUUCUGGUCGCUUCUGUUCCCAGCUCCAAGAAGCCCUCGCCCUACAUCUGACCUACUAUAGAACAUCAAGUGGAGCCCCACCACCACCACCAAACGCCCCCUCUGUUCCAGUCUUACACACUUAAAUGGCUUAAGAAAUCUUUUAGAAGAUCCUGUGUUUACCUCUGAAGCUCAUAGGUAGGAGGAGAAUAGAUUCCUGUAAGCCCUGUCUGCAAUGUGAACAAGGCCAUGUGAUGCUGGCAGCCAAGAGCAGAGCUUCAUACUGCUUGUGACUUGCAAGAGAAGCAGCUGGACCUAAAGAGCAAGAUGUCAGAUUCGUGGUGAACCUCUGAGUGCUUCAUGUCAGGAGUCAUGCUAACUGCAACGCCUCGACUCAUCUUCUGGGAGGUAG